rnacentral:rRNA from 1 species
GAGUUUGAUCAUGGCUCAGGAUGAACGCUGGCGGCGUGCCUAAUACAUGCAAGUCGAACGAACAGAUAAGGAGCUUGCUCCUUUGACGUUAGCGGCGGACGGGUGAGUAACACGUGGGUAACCUACCUAUAAGACUGGAAUAACUCCGGGAAACCGGGGCUAAUGCCGGAUAACAUGUUGAACCGCAUGGUUCUACAGUGAAAGACGGUCUUGCUGUCACUUAUAGAUGGACCCGCGCCGUAUUAGCUAGUUGGUGGGUAACGACCUACCAAGGCGACGAUACGUAGCCGACCUGAGAGGGUGAUCGGCCACACUGGAACUGAGACACGGUCCAGACUCCUACGGGAGGCAGCAGUAGGGAAUCUUCCGCAAUGGGCGAAAGCCUGACGGAGCAACGCCGCGUGAGUGAUGAAGGUCUUCGGAUCGUAAAGCUCUGUUGUUAGGGAAGAACAAAUGUGUAAGUAACUGUGCAUAUCUUGACGGUACCUAACCAGAAAGCCACGGCUAACUACGUGCCAGCAGCCGACC